rnacentral:rRNA from 1 species
UACGGAGGGGGCUAGCGUUGUUCGGAAUUACUGGGCGUAAAGCGCACGUAGGCGGAUGCUUAAGUCGGGGGUGAAAUCCCGGGGCUCAACCCCGGAACUGCCUUCGAUACUGGGUGUCUGGAGUCCGGGAGAGGCGAGUGGAAUUCCGAGUGUAGAGGUGAAAUUCGUAGAUAUUCGGAGGAACACCAGUGGCGAAGGCGGCUCGCUGGUCCGGUACUGACGCUGAGGUGCGAAAGCGUGGGGAGCAAACAGG